rnacentral:rRNA from 1 species
GACGGGGGCCCGCACAAGCGGUGGAGCAUGUGGUUUAAUUCGAUGAUACGCGAGGAACCUUACCUGGGCUCAAAUGUAUGUUGACGUAUUCUGAAAGGGAUACUUCUUCGGACAAUAUACAAGGUGCUGCAUGGUUGUCGUCAGCUCGUGCCGUGAGGUGUCGGGUUAAGUCCCAUAACGAGCGCAACCCCUAUCAUUAGUUGCCAUCAGGUCAAGCUGGGGACUCUAAUGAAACUGCCUACGCAAGUAGUGAGGAAGGUGGGGAUGACGUCAAAUCAGCACGGCCCUUACGUCCAGGGCUACACACGUGCUACAAUGGCCGGUACAAAGGGCAGCUACCUGGUGACAGGAUGCUAAUCUCAAAAGCCGGUCUCAGUUCGGAUCGGAGUCUGAAACUCGACUCCAUGAAGUUGGAAUCGCUAGUAAUCGCGCAUCAGCAUGGCGCGGUGAAUACGUUCCCGGGCCUU